rnacentral:lncRNA from 1 species
CCUCUAGGCCACACCUUUUAUUCGUUUAUAUUUAUUUAUGGAUUCAUUGUUUUAGAGACAGGUUCUCACUCCGUUGUCCCGGCUGGAGGGCAGUAGUGUGAUCACAGAUCACCACAGCCUGGAACGCCUGGGCUCAAGUGACCCUCCCAUCUCAGCCUCCCAAGUUGCUGGGGCUAUGGGCUCGUGCCACUGUGUCGGCUAAUUUUUUUUAUUUUUAGUAGAGAGAGGGUCUCACUAUGUUGUCUGUGCUGGUCUCAAACUCCUGGGCUCAAGCAAUUCUCCUGCCUCGGCCUCCCAAAGUGCUGGGAUCCUGACAGCCGUGAACCACUGUGCUCGGCCUCUGCAUCUUUUAAGAAGAAAAUGGCUUGUCUCCCAAGACCUGAUUUCCUCCUUCCUCCAGCUGGAACUCAGAUGUGGAACAGAGGAAGUGGCUUCAACAGUGCAGCAUUGCUGGGGUCCACAUCCUGUGGUCUGGUCCACUUCUGACUUCAGCUGCAGCCUGCUGGACAGUUCACAGCACUCAGAUGCCCCUCAUGCUGCAGAGGUCAAUGGGUAUGGCUGGAUCCCUGUCUCUCCUACAAAGCCGAGAGCUUGCUCACUGGAGAACCAGCUCACAGAGACGUGCAGGAGAGGUCAUCAACUGGGGGUGCCCCAAAGCUGUGGGGUGGAGCCAGGGUGGUGCCCGAGUGUCCCACCUAUUGGGAGUUUUCCAUCCACUUCUCAGGUUCCAGCUGCACCGAGCCCUGCAGCAACCCCACGGAGGCCUCCCUAGAUUGGCCUUUCCUCCAUCACAGCCUCACUCUCCCUCUCCUGCUUCCUGCAAUCAACUUCCAAACAAAUAUGUAAAUCCAAGUCCUUGUCUCAAGCCUGCUUUUGAGAAAAUCAAAACUAAGUCAACACUUCUCAGGUUGUGAUUUUGUGUAUGGGGCUGACUUGUGAAAUAUUAAUUUCCUCUGAGUCCAGGAGCCCAUGGACUCGAUGGGCUCCACUCUAUGGCAGCUCCGUGUGUCCAAUUUGCCUGUCACCAUAUCCUGAAUGCAGUUCCUGACACAUAAUAAGUGUUCAAUAAAUACAUGUGAAAUAAAUGAAC